rnacentral:misc_RNA from 1 species
CUGGUUCAAACCUUGAAAUUUGUUUCUUCUUGAACUGACUUCUCAGAAUUUUCCAUUUUCAUUUCCAAUCUUUCGAUAAUCUCAAGCAUGCCCAGGAUAAUCUUUUUUCUAAUUCCAUAGUCUAUUGUUGUUACUUUUACAGAAACUAAAGAAAUUGAAGGAAGAAAAUAGAAGAAUUCAUAAGAGAUUUAUAAAUUGAAACAAUUUCAAGAAACAUGCUAGAAAGGAGAAAUUAAGGAAGAGAGUAGAAGAAAGAACCAGAAAG